rnacentral:lncRNA from 1 species
UCCCUUCGCAGUCAUUGCUGGGGAGCUACCAAGCCUCUCUUCCGUUCCUGAUCUUCGGCGUGACGGCGAUCGUGGCCGGACUGAUAAUCCUGCUGCUGCCGGAGACGUUACACUUGCCUUUACCGGAGACCUUGGAAGAGGCAGAACACCUGGGAAAAGCCAAGGUGCACAUGUCAUCCCCUGGUUCGGAAGCCAGUCGGCUGCUCUCGGAUCGCGAACUGAGUGACUAACUGUGAUUGGUGGUUGUGAAACACGUUCGGUGGUGGCUGAAUUUCAAAUAGCACUUUUUUUUUACAGAAAUUGAGGGUAGUCUAUUAAAUAAUACGUAAGCAUGAAUAGAAAUAUCAUAAACAUAUCUAUACAGGGUGUAUAAUAAUGUAUACGUAUAAUAGAAGUAAUACUACAUACAACAUACAAUAUACAAUAUAUAUAUAUAUAUAUAUUAUAUAUAUAUAUAUAUAUAUUGGCGCCUGCUUCUGUCCGUCCUAAGUCUAAGGCAGUGGUCUAUGAUGAAGCUGCUAUCCUAAUCCUAAUCCUAAUCUCUAUCCAAUCCAUAUCUCUAAGACAGACUCUACACCUUACCUCUGGGUGACUCCAAACACUCCUGCUAACCAUCACCUUACCUUGGUCUCUGAGCCUGAACCCUAUACCUGACGUUCUAGUUUGGUAUUAUGAUCACUGUGAUAGUUAAUUAUAUUGCAAAUUUAUAUAUUGCGAUGAGAGGUACGGCAACAUGGCAGCAUUGCUACGUAAUACAUUAUCUGUUUAUAUAUACUUGUUUCAUGGACAUGUUACUUGUUUACAUUUUGUACGCGGCAAUGAACACAAUUUAUGGGCGUUGUUUCUACGUGAGUCAGUGACUGUACGUGAUAGACCACUUGUUAUGUAGCACCACUCGGUCUCUGUAUAGUCUGUUUCUCCUUACAAAGUUUACUGUUUGUUGUUAGUUUUGUAUUGUUACUGUUUUCUGUGUUGUUGUUUUUGUAUUGUUACUGUUUACUGUGUUGUUGUUUGUGUAUUGUUACUGUUUACUGUGUUGUUGUUUGUGUGUUGUUACUGUACAAAUUUACUGUUUGUUUUACUGUUUGUCCGUGUAAGCCUGUUUUUCCUUAUGUACGUCCCAAACGCGUUUUAACUCGGAAUAUCUAUGCAAUCAAUGAGAUUAUUAUUUUAUGUAUUUAUCAUAAAGCGAAAUGGGAAUCAUAGCAAAAA